GACGAACGCUGGCGGCAGGCCUAACACAUGCAAGUCGAACGAGUGGCGGACGGGUGAGUAAUGUCUGGGAAACUGCCCGAUGGAGGGGGGUAACUACUGGAAACGGUAGCUAAUACCGCAUACCAUCGGAUGUGCCCAUAUGGGAUUAGCUAGUAGGUGGGGGACCGGCUCACCUAGGCGACGAUCCCUAGCUGGUCUGAGAGGAUGACCAGCAACACUGGAACUGAGACACGGGCCAGACUCCUACGUGAGGAAGUAGUGGGGAAUAUUGCACAAUGGGCGCAAGCCUGAUGCAGCCAUGUCGCGUGUAUGAAGAAGGCCUUCGGGUUGUAAAGUACUUUCAGCGAGGAGGCGUUACUCGCAGAAGAAGCACCGGCUAACUCCGUGCCAGCAGCCGCGGUAAUUC
rnacentral:rRNA from 1 species